UCAUUAAAAUCAAUCUUUCUUUUCAAACAUGCAUUUCACAAGGUGUUUCCAUAUUUUUGUCCAUCCACUGUAUGUGCAAGUAGUUUGAUGUCUCGUAAAAAAAAUAAAAUCGGUCAAGCCAACAAAAUCAUAGAAAUAGGCGAAAGUCUUUUCACAAAAAGAAAAAAAAAAAAAUGUUGGAUGGGUUCUUCCAGGAUAAUGGGUAUUCGGAGGUUUAUGCCGGGAAAGCAAAGAAAUGUUUUCUGGUCAUCAUUCCUGAUGUCCCCAUUGUGCUACAACAUUGCUGACUGCCAUUUAGGAAAACAUCACAGAUGGCAGCAUCCUAUUGUCAGAUUGCCAAGAAGAAUGUAAGAAAGAGGAAUUAAGAAAAUGCUGGGUAUGAAAAUUUCACUGUGAAUUAUAAUAUUAUAGACCCCGAAACCGGAUGCCAUACCCAACUGUGAAAAGAUUGUGGGGCAGUGCUAAAUGGAGAAAUAAACGUCAUCGACAUGCUGCUUGCCACCAUUUAGGAUCAUAUUUAAUAGAAUUAAUGUGGCAUCGGUUAUGUUCAAAAACUGAAUUUUUCCUAUGAUAUUUGUCAUUUUAUGCCACCUGUUUAGAUUAAAUUUAACGUUUGUUUCGUUAUUUUUUAUUUAUGUGUAGAGUAUUCUAGAUUAAAAAAUUAAAAAGAAAAGUUUACUUUCUUUAAGGAUUAUAAGAUUUUAAAAAAAUUACCUUUUUACAGAAGUCAGUUCUUUAGUUUUUUGAAUUCCAUUAUUAUUUCAUAAUUUUAAACUCGACAACAAUUGGUGGUUUAAAAAAAAGUGGUACAUUUUUAACUGCCGUCACUUUGAUGGAAUAAGCACCUUUUCUGUUAAUCGAAUCAAAUAAUUUGUAUUCUGGCUUCAUCCUAGUAUACGGUAGACAUGGGAUUUGAUGACAUUAUUAUGAGCAGUAAAUAGUCAUUUCGGUGGUGGGGAUAAUAUUCAAAUUUGUACCAAGGCUGUACCAUAUACUAGGAUUUUACCUUUAUGGAGGUUUUCAGUUAUGUUUGAAUAUACAGGCAGCCCUCCACUUUUGCACGUAAUUGGUUCCUGAAAAUACAUGCAGAUGCUGAAUGUUUGAAAAUAGAGGAAUGUAAAAGAAAUAUUAAUAAUUAUAUUUUUAAAUAUUUAUUUAUGAAUACACAUAAUUAAAUUAACAGGGCAUGUUUAAGUGCUUUCAGGUGUUUUCUUCAUAAAUUUCUCAAGAGUUACUUGAAUAUCACCCAUCAGCCAGCUUCUUCCUUGCUUUUAUUACAUAUUUCAUUUAUCUUUUCUUGCUCAAUAAAGUAUUCAUUUCACAAAAGUAAUGAGUGAGAUUUAGUUAAUGCAUUAACAUCUUUCAUUUCACAAAAGUAUUAAGUGACAUUUAAUCAAUGCAUUAACAUCUUCGUUGCUGACAUCCAAGUUUACAUCAUUUAUUAGGUUAAUUAUUACUGUUACUAAUAGUUUCCAAAGUCUCUUCAGAAUUUAUAAAAUUGCUCAUCAUUUUUUUUAAUUAAUUGUUUCCAAGGAUCUUUCAUUGUUGAUUCUUUUUUUUUUUUUUCAGCCCACAAAUCUCUAUUAAUAUUAUGUUCCAAAAAUCUCUUUAACCUUCCCGCCAGUUGCCUCGAUGGUCUGAUUCAUUAUUGUUUCGAUCACUCAAACAACUCUAUCACUGUUUGAUCCGUAGUUGUAUGAGGCAGGUAGUAUUAGGAGGAAGAAACACAACAUUGAUUUCCAGGUAUAAAUUCUGCAGGGUUUUUUGUAUCAAGGGGCAUUGCAUAAGAUUCAGAAUGCUUUAAACUGUAAAUUUUUAUCUUUGCAAUAUUGCUUAACUGCCUGAAAUGAAAACUGACAUAAUCUUUAAAUAUUAAUGCAGUAACCAGUUCUGUCUUUAUACUUUCUGGAAAUUUAAGAAAAUGCAUGUACCAUUACAUUUUAAAUUUUCUACAAUUAUUUAUCAUUAAUAUGUUUAUUAACAUUUACUGCCAAUGUGCUCACAUGGACUAUUUAUCGUUGGGGAUUGUGUCUCGAACCUAAGAACUCUGGUGAUGCACGACUUGUGUUAUCUUAUGGGAGUGGCUGCAUGGUAGUGAACAAUUGUUGUAAUAUUGCCAAUUUUUUUUUUUUUUUUUUUUUCAAAAUUUUUUCAAAUUCAAAAUAUGCGAAAUAGCAAAUUGGCAGCAGUAGAAUGUGUGAAAGUCGAGGGCCACCUUUACAUACUUUCAUCAUUAUAUUGCACUUAAAAUAUAAUAUCAGCAUGUUUAUAUAAUACUAUGCUGUCACAAAUGUAUAUUUUCAGCCAAAUUCUCUAAUUAUUUGGAAUAAAAAUUCAGAAUGCCAAUCAUUUAAAUUGAUAUUUUUUGCCUCAAGUUAAGAGAAAUUAAAAAUAAUGUGUUGUACAUUUAUUUGUACUCUUUUAACUUUUCAUGGAUUUAAAUAAUAUGAAAAUGUACACUAGAUUACAUAUUUUUAAGAAGCUAUUGAAAACAUUUAGUUGAAUGUUACAAAUUGUAACAUUAAUAGAAAAGAAGUUACAUAUUAUAGAUAGGUUUAAUAUUCUUUGUUUACGAUUAAGUCAUUUGUUACCUGUAAAAAGUCUUUCCUCUUCAUGCAAAAAUUUUUUGUUUUAUUGUCUUUUUUAAUGUGCAGUAGAACUACAGUCUUAUUACUUUCUAUCAACAUUUGCUGUAUGUCAUGCUUUCCCUCUUUUUGUUAAAUUCCUUGAAAGUAAAAUGUCAUGGCACAGGUCAGUAGAAUAUCUCUUAAUUGUUUUCAUUAAAUCAUAAAUGUAAUAUAAAAAUUUUAUAUUUUCCUUAUUUUAUUUCUGUAAAUAAUAUCUUAAAUUUAGUUGAAUGAAAAUGAAUUAUAUAUUUUUAUUUAUUCAAGCGGAAAAUAAUUCCAUUAAUUUUAGUGCAGUAACUAUAAAAGCAAGCUUAUGUAUUUAGAUUUUAGGCUCUAUAAAUUUCAUUGUUACAUUGUAAUUGAAAUUGAGAUAGAUUCUCUGCUAGGUAUAUAGAAAAACGACUUAAUUGUUUACUUUUUUUUUAAAGUGUUUUAUGUAAGCAAAUUAAAAAGACUCUCAAGUUACCAAAGGAACUUGAAUCAGCCUUUCUACUGCCACACAAGGUUUCAUGAAGUUAGAUUUUAUGCAAGGAACCAAUGAUUUCGUGUUCCAAUGAUUCCAUCUGUCAGAGAGUGGUCUUUAAAGAGGUGUCAUCAUCUUGUUUAGUAGAGUCAAGAGGAGUGUAACCAUGAAUUGUAUAUUGAUGAUUCCAGAUAUAGCCUCAACUGUGAUACUGGACAUGUUGUGAUCUGAAGGAUGCGAGGAACAUGUACUAUUCUUUCCUUCAUGAAAGGGUUCAUUUCCAGGUUUGGUUACAGAACCUUAAAACCACUUCUGUACUAACCUUAGCUUCAGGUUACAGAAGUGGUUUCAAGGUUUGGGUAGAAUCAUCAAAAAUGGCCACACUGUGCUAUAUAUAAAUGAUGGAGGUUCAGUAACAAACCUCAGAUAUGUGGAGAACCUUAUGCAAGGUUGUUCACAUGUGUGGUUGGCUCAUCUUUAGCUAAUGAAUGACAGUUUUUAUCUGCAUUGCAUAUCUCUGGUAUCAGAACCCUUGGAAACAGAAGAUUUGGCCAGCUUAUUCAUCAACCUGUUUGAGACCAUAUGGGAUUCCUUUGACAGCUGAAUCCCAGCAUGCAAAAUGCCUCCCCAGAACCUCCGAGAUCUGAAAAGUGCACUUUCCUAAGAAGUAGUUUCAGUGAUCUUCAGUUGUAGAAGUCAAAAACUCUUGUAUAUUGCCAAAAGUUUAUUGGUAGUCUAACUUAGCUAGAUGUAUGAGACAUGCUGAAAGUGAAGGCCAAGUACUCACCCCUUAAGAACAUAGGCCAAAAUUCAAAAAAAGGUUAGAUCAAUAAUGUUACGGAUGAAGCAUUUGAUGAUAUUAGCAGAAGAUUUAUGCCAAGUGAUUUGGUUGUUUUUAACCGCUUUUCAAUUAUAUAUAGAUUUCAGAAUUGUAAUUUAAUGUGUUAUGUUUAAAUCACAAUGAUAUAAUAUUAGUAUUUAUUAUUAAAGAUUUGUCUCUUUUUAUUGUUCAGCUUGAUAUUUAUCCUCAUUGUAGUUUUUAGAAACAUAGUUAUGUAUUUUGGAAGACACAUAUAAGUAGUACGUAUGUUACUUUUCUUCAUGUGUCUUACGUUAUGUAAGGCACUUGUGGUACCUUAUGGGGCACUUGCCCAGGGCCUGUAUUUUCAUGUAAAUUUGUUCCUGUAAAUGUUGUGUUUAAAAUAUGUCACACUUUGUAAAAUUAAAAACAAAAGAAUUAUUAUUUGGUCCCCAAUUCCCCCCCCAUUCUGGGCAAAUAGCUGUUACGUGCUAUGUUAUAAUAAAUUAAAACCAUGAAAACAAAAUGCACAAAAGAGAUGUUUUUGUUUCAAUAAUUUUAACUGAAAAAAUAUUAAUUUUUAGGUCAUUUCAUGAAUUGUUUUUUGUAAUGUUUAUGAAAUGUCUCGUGAAAUGUUUUACGUAAUGUGUUUUAACGUCAUUGAUACCUGCUAUGUUGGAAAAAAUUAUGAGAGGUGCUUCUACAAGAGGUUUUGUCCCAGGCCUCAUGUAAAUUAGUCCCUUGUUUUGACUAUUUUAUCAUUCAGCAUUUUUCUUCAUGAAUAUAAUGCUGAAAUAAUUUAAUAAAUGUAUUUAGAAUUCAGUCUUAAACAUUAGAAUGUAAAUUACUAAUUCAUGUUACUUUUACUUCAUUAUUUUUGUAACCUAUAACAUGUUAAAUGUUAUAUCUUGAGAAAAUGUAGAAAGUUCGUUAAUUAUCCUAUUAAUUGUAUCUAAUAAGUUGAAAAUGAAGCAUUAAAGCAACUUUAGAUUGUCAGUUUUAGAUGUAAAAAAAGCAACUGCUUUUUUUACAUCUAAAACUUACAUCUAAAACAUAGAUUACAUCUAAAACUUAGAUAAUCUUUUCUUUUCUUUUUCUUUUUCUACCAAUUUAAGGUUUCUUUUUAGUCUAAUUUCAAAUUUUAUGUUGACAUGUUUCUCUUCAUUUUAUAUUUGAUAAGUUUUCUGUGUAAAUAUUGCAGCACAGGUUAAGUUAUUUGGCAUUAUCCAUUAUUGCUCUCUUUCACUUUAUCAUAUGUUUCACUCAUAUUUCUAACUAUUUAUAUUUCUUAUAUUAAAUAUAUUCUUGAUUCGUAUGUGUCUUUCAUGGAGAUCUUUCGAUCAUUUUAUCUGUGAUAUUUGAAGAACUGCAAAAUUUCCUGUAAAUGCUGUCAUUAUUCAAAUUUUAGCUUAGGAUAAUUUUAAUAAAGGUUAUUAAAUCGGAAAAA